CGACAGGUUCCUUUAAUCAUAUGAUUCUUAGGUCAUACACGACCUUCGUAGGAAAAACAAUGCAAACAUCCUCCUUUAAUUAGAUAAAGGAAGAUGUGGUAUGAGUGCCAAUGAGACAACUCUCCAUUCAAAUAACAAUUUAUAAAAGUAAACCAUUAUAGGUCAAUGUACGGCCUUCAACACGGCGAAUGGCUCACACCGAACAACAAGCUAUACAAGGUCCCAAAAUUUCUCGUGUAAAACCAUUCAAACGGGAAAACCAACGGUCUAAUCUAUAUAAAAAACAAGAAACGAGAAACACGCAUAAAAUACACAGACAAACG
rnacentral:lncRNA from 1 species